UACGGAGGGUGCGAGCGUUAAUCGGAAUCACUGGGCGUAAAGAGCGCGUAGGCGGCUCCACCAGUCAGGUGUGAAAGCCCUGGGCUCAACCUAGGAACUGCAUUUGAUACUGUGGAGCUAGAGUCUGUCAGAGGGUGGCGGAAUUCCGGGUGUAGCGGUGAGAUGCGUAGAUAUCCGGAGGAACACCGGUGGCGAAGGCGGCCACCUGGGGCGAGACUGACGCUGAGGUGCGAAAGCGUGGGGAGCAAACAGG
rnacentral:rRNA from 1 species